rnacentral:rRNA from 1 species
UACGGAGGGUGCAAGCGUUAUCCGGAUUCACUGGGUUUAAAGGGUGCGUAGGGGGGCAGGUAAGUCAGUGGUGAAAUCCCCGAGCUUAACUUGGGAACUGCCGUUGAUACUAUCUGUCUUGAAUACCGUGGAGGUGAGCGGAAUAUGUCAUGUAGCGGUGAAAUGCUUAGAUAUGACAUAGAACACCAAUUGCGAAGGCAGCUCGCUACACGAAUAUUGACUCUGAGGCACGAAAGCGUGGGGAUCAAACAGG